UGGGGAAUAUUGGACAAUGGGGGGAAACCUGAUCCAGCCAUGCCGCGUGUGUGAAGAAGGCCUUAUGGUUGUAAAGCACUUUAAGCGAGGAGGAGGGUACUGGUAUUAAUACUACCAGGUACUGGACGUUACUCGCAGAAUAAGCACCGGCUAACUCUGUGCCAGCAGCCGCGGUAAUACAGAGGGUGCGAGCGUUAAUCGGAUUUACUGGGCGUAAAGCGUGCGUAGGCGGCUAAUUGAGUCGGAUGUGAAAUCCCCGAGCUUAACUUGGGAAUUGCAUUCGAUACUGGUUAGCUAGAGUGUGGGAGAGGAUGGUAGAAUUCCAGGUGUAGCGGUGAAAUGCGUAGAGAUCUGGAGGAAUACCGAUGGCGAAGGCAGCCAUCUGGCCUAACACUGACGCUGAGGUACGAAAGCAUGGGGAGCAAACAGG
rnacentral:rRNA from 1 species